UAAGUGUAAACGGGAUGUCAGGAACAGGCCUGUCACGGAGCAGCUAAAAACACAGACAUAGCUUAACUACUGCGAUUUUCCACACCGCACUAGUUUGAGGCCGAGUCUGACAUCGACAGAGGAAGAACAGAAGCCAGUAGUCUCUAACCGAGACUCGGCGAGGACGUUUCAGAGUGCGAAGUAAAGUAAUAAGGUGCACUUGUGGAAACCGCCGACGUAAAAAAAAAUGUCGGCUGCGAAGAAAAAACGACAGGUGGUGAUCCCGUGUCUCCGGAAUGUCCGGGUUGUCCAGACAAAGUGGGAACAGAUCCUUCUCUCAGGACCAAACGUUGAGAAAAGCCAGCCGCGAACUGUGACCGGUUCAGGAAGCAGUCCUCUGUGAAAUGACGGGAACACACGGGGAGUUUGGGGUUGUAUUUUUGAGGUACAGUGUUGAAAAUAAAUUUUAACCACUGACUCUUCAA